rnacentral:rRNA from 1 species
GAUGAACGCUGGCGGUAUGCUUAACACAUGCAAGUCGAACGGACUCUUCGGAGUUAGUGGCGGACGGGUGAGUAACGCGUGAGAAUCUGGCUUUGGGUUCGGGACAACCACUGGAAACGGUUGCUAAUACCGGAUGUGCCGAGAGGUAAAAGAGAAAUUGCCUGAAGAUGAGCUCGCGUCUGAUUAGCUAGUUGGUGAGGUAAAGGCUCACCAAGGCAGCGAUCAGUAGCUGGUCUGAGAGGAUGACCAGCCACACUGGGACUGAGACACGGCCCAGACUCCUACGGGAGGCAGCAGUGGGGAAUUUUCCGCAAUGGGCGAAAGCCUGACGGAGCAAUACCGCGUGAGGGAAGAAGGCUCUUGGGUUGUAAACCUCUUUUCUUAGGGAAGAACAAAAUGACGGUACCUAAGGAAUCAGCAUCGGCUAACUCCGUG